rnacentral:lncRNA from 1 species
CAAAUUUCAUGACUAAAGCUACAUGCUAUCGAGCUACAAUCCUUUUCAGCCGAAUGUAAAUUCUGCGGGCAGAAAGCAGAUUUGUACCAUAUGGUAUGGGCCUGUCAGGCUAAUAGUGCCUUAGACACCACA